rnacentral:rRNA from 1 species
AACGAACGCUGGCGGCAUGCCUAACACAUGCAAGUCGAACGAGACCUUCGGGUCUAGUGGCGCACGGAUGCGUAACGCGUGGGAACCUGCCCUUAGGUUCGGAAUAACUCCCCGAAAGGGGUGCUAAUACCGGAUAAUGUCUUCGGACCAAAGAUUUAUCGCCUUUGGAUGGGCCCGCGUUGGAUUAGCUAGUUGGUAGGGUAAAAGCCUACCAAGGCGACGAUCCAUAGCUGGUCUGAGAGGAUGAUCAGCCACACUGGGACUGAGACACGGCCCAGACUCCCACGGGAGGCAGCAGUGGGGAAUAUUGGACAAUGGGCGAAAGCCUGAUCCAGCAAUGCCGCGUGAGUGAUGAAGGCCUUAGGGUUGUAAAGCUCUUUUACCCGGGAUGAUAAUGACAGUACCGGGAGAAUAAGCUCCGGCUAACUCCGUG